AUACUAAUGAAUAGAAUAGCAAAUACAGAAAAAUUGUAAAUUACGCGUUGAGAAGAGGUUUGGCAGACGAUAAAGGGAAGGGUUAUGUUCCGUUAUGAGGUUGGGAACCCUAAACAUUUUAAUUUCAUUAUGGCUAUACAGACCAGUCUGACGACUUGAUAUAUAUGAUUUUUACUCGAUGUUAUUUUAUACAAAUUAGAUAUCACAAAUUCUGAUGAUGGGAUUACCUAGCUAACUAAUUUAAGAAAACGCCCCUAGCGUCAAAUCGUAGACACAGAAAGCUGGUUUAAUUUUUGUGUUUUGCGACGCGCCGCGCACUUUCUAAAUCUAUGUUUGCGUCAAAUACAUAUUUUUAAGCUAAAUACAUUCAUUCCAUCAUAUUGAACGCGGAUUAUUUUUAAAGCGAAUGACAUAAUUUUAUUAAUCAGCUUCGACAAUAGUGUGAUCUCAUUUUUAUAAUUUACACAAUACCUAAUAUAAAAAUAUAGCAAAACUGGCACAUUCACUAUCGCAAUACUAGCAAGCACAAGCGCAACCAUCCAAAUAGUUUUACAUUUAAAUUAAAAAAUGCAAGAUGUUUGAAUCUUAACUAUUGUGUGCGUGUUUAAGUACCUUAAAGUAUUACAUUACAAGAUGUAUCUCGUCUUCACCAGCGUUUUGGGAGCGGCAUUCACUUUUUACAUGGCGGCGUUUGCAUGGCAUCUCCUCUUGGAUCAUCUACCGAAUGUCGCUUUGCCGACUGAAUUGUCGAAGGUCGGCGUCGCCGAGCCUUCACCUAUUGUGUACAUUAUACACAAUCCGAACCAAAUGCCUCCGAACUAAUAAUCCAGGCACCUAACGUAGACUGGUCUUAAGAGUGUCCUGCUGCUCAUAUAGACGAGAGGAUGAACGCAGAGGUGUUUAAGAGGCAUAGGAACCUCGACAUAACAAUUAUUAAUUUAAGUUAUGAAGAUCUGUAUUCCCAAUAUGGACUUUUGACUGGAAUAAACAAUUUUUUUUGCCACUAGACCACCACCGGUUCAAUGUAUAUAAACCAUUAUUAAUGGGCUUAAGCACAUACAUAAGAAAGAAGACCUAUUAUUUAACAAUUUUGUAUAUAGGUCAAUAAAACGUUACCUAAAUGAAUUAUGUGUUUUCUUUAGCCAGGAGUAAGUACCUAUAUACAUGGAUAAGUCAAGAGAGUUAGCGAUAGAGAACUUCGCGAGAUAACUUCGCGACAAAAGUUAGGUAUUGUGUAAAAAGUCGAAAAUUAUUUUAGCAGUCCUAUCUUUGCACCUAAUUACUGAUUACUUUGCACAAAAUUAGUAGAUACUCUAACGUGCUUUAUGCUACAUCUUCUCGGCAUGUGACAUGACUAUUUUAUGUAUGCUGAAUCAUUAAUAUGAUUAGAUUAGAUGCUAACUACUUCGGUUAUGUGCUGCUCACACUGCUGUCAUGUUUGUAAUUAUAAACAUGUGAUUAUAAACCACAGUUCUGAUAAAACAAUAGCUAAUAAUGCGUAUAAGUAGUAUUUAAUGUCCAGUGUGAGCUAUAUAAGAUAUAAAAGAUACCUAUACCUACCUACCUAGGUAGCUAGGACUGAAAUAAAGUUCCUGUACUUUCGUCAAAAUUAAAGCUUUAUAUAUACUUAAUAGAAAAUAGUUGCCACUAAAUUAUACACAAAAAACAUACCUAUUGAUUUUUUAAUUAGGAUGUAAUAAUCUUAAUCACCGAGUUAUUAUUGUCCGUUCCGUGUGCGUAACACUACUAGAACUAAAUACGGCUGUACUUAGUUCUAGUUGGAAAGGUGGAAAGUUAUAUAUAGGUAUUAUUCUAUGCCGUGAACGUGUAAUACCUAAUCACUCUAUAGGUAAUAAUCUCAAGUAUUUGUCCUAAAAUGCACAAUAACUAUAGCUAUAAUAUCUACCAAUAGCUUUAUUUAUUGGAUGCCAAGCCUAUGUAAACGUAUUGUUACGAAAUGAUUAUCAUAAACAGAACUGUAAAAUAGUUUUGUUCAAUCUCAAUUCUACGAGUGCGUUCACGUAACCAGAUCAACACGUUCAAUAAAAAUGGCAGGUGGCAUGUUAUCAGCGGUAACUUUGGUAGUCUGGACUUUGAUUUGGGUCACAAAGAAGCUGUCAGAGCUGCCCGACCCCCCCAUUUUGACCACCGAAGCUGUACCCUAUAACCGACAUGAUCCUAUGCAAAACAUGCAAAAUAUGCAAAACAUGAAAAACAUGCCAAAUAUGCCAAAUAUGCAAAACAUGCAUAUGCAGGGAUAAUUCUAAAUAAACGGGGAACAGUGCGGUGCUUUGAUGGAAAGUUGGAAAAAAAACGAUAUUUUAACAGUUUCGGACAAACAAAGAAAACUAAAGACAAUGAGUUUGUGUAACCAAAGAACUUACAUUUCCAUGCUAUUUCUAGCCUACCUUAUACAAAGGGGUAGAGAAGCGUUAUAAAGUCGGGUACACGUUGUGGGACAAGUAUUAAAAUUUUUUCGUUUCUCUAUCUUGUAUGAAAAAAGCGAAAAAUAUUUAAAUGCCUAUAGUUUUUUCUGUUUUUGCGUUGACAUCUAUCCUAGUUCGACGAUAGUGUUUAUAAGGCUUAGGAUAUGAAGCACGCACAUUUUGUGAUUUUUUGGUAGGUAGAAUAGUCAUUGAAACAUAAAACAUUCAGAAGAAAUACUAGUAGUUGCAUUACAUCAUAGCAAUUUAAAGCACGCCUACCGCGAAUGCCGAAUUACAUAUCCCGUGAGGUGAUUACGAUAUGGUAAUAAUAUUUGUUGUAAGUAAUAGUAUGGUAAUAUUUGUUGUAUUGUGUAAUAAUUUUGUUUAAAUAAUAUUUUGUCAGGCAAAUUUAUACGAAGCGGAGUGGUCGGACCUAUAGCCAUACUGCAUUGAGAACAAUAAUUUGGUAAACUUGUUUUAUUCCAAUAUCGGUGGCUACACUUUGCUGGCGACACGGUCGCCAGCAAAGUGCAGUUGUGCGAGAACUUUUUAUAGGAACCUUAUUUGUACAUUAUAAAAGGGACGUUCAAAUAGACAUUAUUACUGUUUAUAUAAGACAGGUAGACAGACGUCAGGCCAUCUCUAUUUUAGGUUGAAAAUGUUGUAUUAUUGUGCUGUUGUGGAAGUGUGUAUGUAUGAUUAUUUAUGUUAAGUGUAAAUAUAUUGUAAAGUUGUAAAUAUGAAAUAAAAAUGAUUGAAAAGAAACCAUUA